GAGAAUUAAUGCCUGUAUACCAUGAUCCUUAACCAGAAGUCAUUUUGUGCUCUUUCAACUGCUUUCUGCAAAUUCGUAUUCCACAGCGUAGGAGAGAUGGUGGUGGACACAGUGGGUAGGAGAGUCUGUCCAUAUCCCAAAGGUGUGCCAAAAGGAUUUAUCAAGAAGGGGAUGAUGGAGGUUGCUCUUCCAAAAGUGUCCAGAGUCACUGAGACCUGACCUGUGUAUUUUGUAUUCCAUCCCUGUCAGAUAAAAUCACAUAGAUGGCUGUCUUGGACUGCUGCCUAGAGACCCUAUCACAGACUCCAAAGUCACUACCAAUAUUAACCGCCCUUGGCUGGAGCCACCCAAAGACGAAUUCAGACUCUGUCCUGCCUAAAAUCCUAAAUUCCAUGGAAGAUCCUUAAGGCCAUCUGACCCUACCAAGACAAAAACCAUGUCUUCUUCAGUCACCAGACCAA
rnacentral:lncRNA from 1 species